rnacentral:snoRNA from 1 species
AUGCAUCUAUUUGACAGGCCUGGAGCAGUUAUUAUCUGCUACUCAGGUUUCCACUACAGAGGCAAGAAGAAAGCAUCCUCAUGCUUUCUGUUUGUCUGAUUGUGACAGCCCAGACUGAAUGGGGGAACACAGGA